rnacentral:lncRNA from 10 species
CUGGCCUCCCGAGCGGGGUUGUGAUGUUGGACCCUGUUCUCAACACCAGGCCCACGCCACCAAUUCGUGCUUCUGUCUGGGCCAGGCUUCCCCGUCCCCCUGUCCCAGUCUCAGGAGGGUGUCUGCAGGUUUGUCUCCCUGGGGGACGGAGCCACGUUUGGGUUCCACUUCAUUCUCCAACUGCUCUGGUGCUGGACAGAAGCUGAGCCUGCCCGCCUCCAUAUGUGGGGUUGGAGAGCCUGGGGUACCCUGGCCUCAGAGGCAGUGAUGAUGGGGGAGGGAGAGAGAUGGGAGAGGGGCCUGGGAUGCCAUUGGAAUCUCUCAGGGCUUCAUCUGAGCUGUCUCUGCCCCCUUCUAGCAUUCCCAGGGGAGUUCCAGGAGGCCCAUGGCCCCUCCUGUACAGCCCUCCACCGCCCAGAGCCUUCCAGCGCCGUGUCUUCCCCUUGGAGCAUCUGGAGGCCCCAGACAGCACCCGCCUGACGUUCAGCAGAGGGGGAGACCGAGGCCUGCAGCAGAGUGUUUUGUCAGAUGCUGCUCCCUGACCGGGAGUGAGAGGGAACCCACCUAGAGGUGCCAGAUGGGGUGCCAGGGCAGCGUGGCCUGCAGGCCCCUCAGCUCCUCACAGCCCCUGCCCCCAGCCUUCCUGGGCCCAGAGAUCCCCUUGUUUACCCUAGUCCAGGGACAGAGGCUCAGAUGUCAUGCUUGACCCCACAGUUUCUGCAGAUCCUGCUUUGUGACUUCGAGUGAAGUGUGGAAGCGCUGGAAGCACUUAGACCCUGCCUGUGCCGCAGACCCCUGGGAGGCACCAACACCCCGGAUCGAGAAGCCCGAUGGGAAAGAAUGUCUGGGAAGGACGUCAUGCCCGAGGCUUGCGUGACAGUUUCCACUCACAGUGCGCUCACUCUGAACCUCUGUGCACACGAUGGGCCUGCAUCUCUUCCCACUAUCUGCUAGGAAACACGAGGGAGGAGGCCAUGAGAACCGUCAAGAAGUUCAUGGACUCAGGAGGACGUCGUGAGCAGUGCUGAGGUCAUGGAAUGUGGGCUGGGACCUUGUGUUUGGUGACAUCCUGUAAGUACUCGGCUCGCUCAAGCUAACUGCCCGGCUGGGAUCACCGCUCUAGGAGGACUCAAGAGUUCAGAUGAGUGGCCCAGGGGCCCGUCAGUGCUGUGCACCUCUCCCCCCAUGGGUGGGGGAGGAGCCUGGGGACUUGGCCAGUCCUGGAGGAGCCCUGAGACCAGGCCCUGUGGUGGGCACCACGGCACGGGGAGGUGCCUGGAGGGCUGGAGCCCACUUGGGGGGCCAUGGUCAGUCAGGGCUGCAGAAGCAGAGAAAUGCGGGAUGCCCAUGCUGGCUGGGACUCGCCCACUGCCCUGCACAUGGCGAGUGAGGGAGAGAGGCAAGGCACCUUUCCAGGGGUGCAUGGGAGGCUGCGGUCAAAGGUCCUGCACACCCGCAUGCGUGCUCACAUCUGUAGCUGCAGACACUGACCCCCAGAGACCCCCGAGCUCAU